UACGUAGGCAGCGAGCGUUGUUCGGAGUUACUGGGCGUAAAGGGUGUGUAGGCGGUUUUCUAAGUUUGGUGUGAAAUCUCCCCGGCUCAACCGGGAGGGUGCGCCGAAAACUGGGAGACUAGAGUGCGGGAUGGGAGAGUAGAAUUCCUGGUGUAGCAGUGAAAUGCGUAGAUAUCAGGAGGAAUACCGGUGGUGUAGACGGCUCGUCUGGACCGCCACUGACGCUGAGACACGAAAGCGUGGGUAGCAAACAGG
rnacentral:rRNA from 1 species